rnacentral:rRNA from 1 species
AGAGUUUGAUCCUGGCUAGGACGAACGCUGGCGGCGUGCCUAACACAUGCAAGUCGAGCGAUGAAACCCUUCGGGGUGGAUUAGCGGCGGACGGGUGAGUAACACGUGGGUAACCUGCCUUAUAGAGGGGGAUAGCCUUCCGAAAGGAAGAUUAAUACCGCAUGAAAUGUUUUUAUCGCAUGGUAGAAACAUCAAAGGAGUAAUCCGCUAUAAGAUGGACCCGCGGCGCAUUAGCUAGUUGGUGAGGUAACGGCCCACCAAGGCGACGAUGCGUAGCCGACCUGAGAGGGUGAUCGGCCACAUUGGAACUGAGACACGGUCCAGACUCCUACGGGAGGCAGCAGUGGGGAAUAUUGCGCAAUGGGGGAAACCCUGACGCAGCAACGCCGCGUGAAUGAAGAAGGCCUUAGGGUUGUAAAGUUCUGUUUUCUGGGACGAUAAUGACGGUACCAGAGGAGGAAGCCACGGCUAACUACGUGCCAGCAGCCGCGGUAAUA